rnacentral:lncRNA from 1 species
CUUAGAACAUUGAAAGACUAGAAGUGGUAAACAACAACUUUGAAUAAUUGAAUCUAUUUAAAUUAUAAUUAGAGUUUGGUGUACUACACGGGUCAGUGUUGGGUCCCAUACUGUUUCUCAUUUAUAUAGGGUAAAAGGAUGGGUCCACUCAAAAUAUCCGGCAAGGUUUAGCAACAGGGCAAGAAUAACCUAUCCCGUUCUGUUUCUUAGCGUCAGUUGCCUUUGAGACGGCGACUGGAACGCAUUAUAACCCACCUUCGCGAAUUUUAUUUACCAUAAGUUGAAAUCACCACGUGCAAAAAUUUUAUAUCAGUUUUGAGAAUCUUAUUUUUUUUUUUAAAUCAGGAUUAUGCCCAAUAAAUAUAUCCGAAAAUAAAACGCACCUAAAAGAGGUUCUUGGACGGCUAGAGCAUUAGGUGAUGCAGUUGAUGCUGUGAAGAAUGGCGGUAUGGGCAUUAACGAAGCCGCGAAAGCAUUUGGGAUCCCAAAAACAACUUUUAAGCGCAGAUUAAACGCAAAUAACAUCGAUAACUGUAAUCGUCUGGGGCCAGAUUGUUCUUUGGGCUCGAACGUAAACAAAAAUAGUCAGUCACAUAAAAAAACUGCGAAAGGCAGGCUUUGCACCCACCAGAACAGAAGUAAAGCUGGCCAAAAAUGGUUAGAACUGUUUUUAAAGCAAAGACCUGAAAUUUCAAUCGGAAAAUCCGAGAACACCUCAAUUGCGCGAGCUUUGGUAAUGUCAAGAGAAACCAUUAAUAAUUGUUUUUCGGAUCUACAGAGAAUUAUGACUGAACACAAUUUUUAUGAUAAACCCGGGCAUAUAUUCAAUACAGACGAAACAGGAUUACAGCUGAACACUAGGGCUGGUCAGGUACUAGCCGAAAAAGGAUCAAAAUGUGUUCCAAGCAUAAGCUCUGGGGAAAAGGGUGAGACAAUUAGUGUCAUAGCAUGUUGUACCGCAGAAGGCACUUUUAUCCCCCCAUAUUGUAUUUUCAAAGGAAAAAAUAAAAAAGAAGACUGGCAUGAAGGUAUGCCACGGGGUUCUAAAAUUAGAAUGUCGGAAAAAUCUGCUUACGUUAAUAGCGAGAUUUUUUUAGAAAGCCUUCGGGUAAAACUUUACUAAUAGUAGAUGGCCACACGUCCCAUACGACCACCCUGAACCUACUAGAAUUUGCUGAGCAAAAUGAUAUAAUUUUGUUUUGUUUACCAUCGCAUGCCACUAACUACCUGCAGCCUCUUGAUCGCGCCUUUUUUAAAUCUCUUAAAAGCAACUUCUACGCUGAAUGCCGUUUUAUGGUUCAAAAUAACCCAAACAGUGUCCUUAAUCGUCUUCAAUUUGGUAAGCUGUUAGGUCGAGCAUGGGGAAACUCAGCAACUGUUCAAAAUGCGGCCUCUGCAUUUAAAUCCACUGGGAUUUAUCCAUUUAACACGUUAAUUAUCCCGGAAUAUGCUUUUUUAACACAGACACCCCUUGAAAGUCCUGAAACAGAAACGGUCCAGACGGAUAACUUAUCAGUUAGAGCUGAGUCUCCUCAACCAGGCCCCUCCGGAAUUCAAAAUCUAAAAGCCUUACCCAUCAACCCUAACAAGUCAUCAGUACCUGAUGAAGAUAUAACUCCCGGAAAGGCUCUUGACGAAGUAACGCCUGUACCUGUUUUAUCUGCAGCAGUGAAAAGAGUUCGUAAAAAAAUAUCUAGAGAGAUAACAGCUAAGGAAUUUAUAAAAAAUAAGAAAGAUGCACAACUCAAAAAGAACGUAAAAUCCGUAAGAAAAUUAAAAAGUAAGAGAAAAGUGAGUGAAUCUUCAGUGUGAAGAUGACGUUCCUCUUGAUAACAGUUCCGGUGGUGAAGAAAACUUUAGUGAUUUAGAAAAUGAAUGUAUCGGUUGAAAGGAGGACUAUAACCAAACGUCUAAAAAAGACGAAUGGCUGCAAUGAAUAAUUUGUAAACGUUGGUUACAUGAAACUUGUUCUGGCUUCGUUAACCUUUGCAAUAAGUAUGGAAAGACCUGUAGCCACCAAAAAAAGAAAAAGAAAGUAUAGCAUGGUCCGUCUAUCCUACCCCUAGUGGUCCAUCUCAUCUCCACAGAGCAGGAUAGAUGGCAUACCUGUCAUUAUGUAUAUUUUUUAGUGCCUAGAAUUAUUAUUUUUAAUUCCUAAUUAUACCAAAAGAAAUACCAAUAUUAUGUUAUGUUAUAUAUAUUUUUUCCAAUUUUGUUAUUUUUUUUAUUAAAGAAGCACGUUUAAUUUUUUUAAAUGUGGUCCAUCUCUCCUCCUUUUACCCUAAAUGAUCUUUCUUUCUGUCUAAGUCAGGAAUUCAACACUGUACUAUUUGCUGAUGAUACUAUCUUUUAUGUAAGUCAUCAUCCUUCAGAAAUUCACAAUAUUAACUACCAUGCAUCAGAACAAAAUCUUUCUCAAUGGUUUCUGCCAAACUGUCUGUCUUUAAAUAAUUCAAAAUCACAAAGUGUACAUUUUUCUCUUCGCAACCAUACUAAAGUUCUCCAGCCUUGUUACCUCAAUGUGAACAGCAUGUACAGUAUUAUUGGAUGAGGGCUUAACCUGGGAAGAACAUCUGAUUAAUCUGUCAAGAAAAUUAACACAGCAACUUUUUCAGAUAACUUCUAGAUAAACCCUUUUAACAGCUUACCACAGCAAUUUCCAUGGGGUUAUUCCUGCCAUAUGGAAAAAGCUUUUGGACAACGAAGAAAAUGUAUAUGCAUCAUGUCUGGUCUUGGCUAUAGGGAAGAAUUUCGAAAUUCUUUUAAAUCUUUAAAAAUAAUGACUCUACCAUGUGUGUACAUUAUGCAGUGUCUGUUGCACAACAAGCAAAAUUUGAACCUAUAUAAUUCUCAUGAAAACAUCCACAAUUAUCCUACAAGGAACAACACCAAUCUUGUACCUGAUUUCUGCCGACUUGAGAGAUCCAGAAGCGGCUCCAGAUACCUAUGUGCAAAGUUCUAUAACUGUGUACCAGCCAGAGUAAAGGUUUGUUACCAGCCAGAUGUUUUCUUUUAGAAAAAGCUUUUUUUUCAUUUGGGGAGUACUUUGAAUCAAAUUUUAAUUUGUCUUAGUUGUUUUAAUGUGUUUUGAAAAUGUAUUUUAAUUCUAAUAAAAACCAAUUUGAAUUUUAAACUUUUGUUAUAUAUAUAUAUGUACAAACUAUGUAGCAACUUUUUUUUUUAUAUUUAACCCAUAAUUUAUAAGUUUCAUUACAUAUUUUAUUUGACUUGUAAAAGUACUUGUUUGUAUAUUAUUACUAAUAAACUAUCUAACCUCA